ACUGUACCUAGAACAUAGAUACAGAGAUAUUUGUCAUCAGGAAGGUGCUCUCUCAGCAGAACGGAAAAUAUCUCAAUGACUUGACAUGUUCUGGUUGUGAAUCAGGCUACAAGGCAUCAGUGCUUGGAAAUGAGUCUCUCUGGGGAGAGAGAGGAGGGGGUCCAAGCCUCUAAAAUGAGACUCUCUGGGGAACAUGAUUCCAAAGCUAAGAGCUCAAUCAAGCAGGAGAGACCAGCCUCCCCUGUACCCAGCUGUGUGUCUAUGAAGAGUGAUGAGUCUAUGGAUCCUCCUAUAAUGUUUAGAGAGGGAUACGUUUCCACUGAACAAAGGUAAGAAGAACUCAUGGGUCAUGAUGGUCAGUGAAUUAAACAACACUGUAAUUUCUCCUUUCCCAUUUUCCCAUUUCUUUUGGUUGUUUUAAUGAUCCACAUGUUAAUCAUUUUUUCCAUUUUCAUAGUCCUAAAACAAUAUUAAACAAACGUUUGAAUGACACUGAGGGGCAACAUUGUUACAUCUAAUGCCUGUUUGCCUGAGGCUGAUGUCGCACAGGUGUUUGUACGUGUGUACACAUGCAUAUACACACACUCACAUUCAAAAGCACACAUGUUCACAUACACGGACACACAUCCACACAUCUAAAUAAUGCCACACAUGCACUUAGACGUAUUCAGUUGGCCUUGCUGUUGUGAUUGUUGUUGUCCUUAUUAUACUUUGUUUUUUGUUGUUUCCUGUUUUUCUUUCUCUUUUUUUUCUUUGUUAAAUUUGUUGGUUGGUGGGACAGUGGCA